AGUGAACGCUGGCGGUAGGCCUAACACAUGCAAGUCGAACGGCAGCACAGUAAGAGCUUGCUCUUACGGGUGGCGAGUGGCGGACGGGUGAGGAAUACAUCGGAAUCUACUUUUUCGUGGGGGAUAACGUAGGGAAACUUACGCUAAUACCGCAUACGACCUACGGGUGAAAGCAGUGGAUCUUCGGACCUUGCGCGAUUGAAUGAGCCGAUGUCGGAUUAGCUAGUUGGCGGGUGAAAGGCCCACCAAGGCGACGAUCCGUAGCUGGUCUGAGAGGAUGAUCAGCCGCACUGGAACUGAGACACGGACCAGACGCCUACGGGAGGCAGCAGUGGGGAAUAUUGGACAAUGGGCGCAAGCCUGAUCCAGCCAUACCGCGUGGGUGAAGAAGGCCUUCGGGGUGUAAAGCCCUUUUGUUGGGAAAGAAAAGCAGCAGGUUAAUACCCCGCUGUUCUGACGGUACCCAAAGAAUAAGCACCGGCUAACUUCGUG
rnacentral:rRNA from 1 species